CCGAUGGGUUUGCAUCGAGGGCGUGUUUGGCUGUGGCAUUCCUUUAUUUCAUCGUACUUGCAACUAUUUAAACCGCCACAUCGUUCGUUUGCUAUUAUAUAGAGCGCGAGGACUGUCCUUUGAGUGUCGUAGCAAAGUUUUUAGCGGUCAUAGAACGGUGACAAGAGACAACUGGUUAUGCCGGUCGAUGAGCCUUUGUGACUCGUGCCUUGGAGAUCCUCAUAUACAACGGUCGCCGGCAGAUGCGAGGGGUAAUAAGAUGAGAGGCAAAUUCGUUGGUUCGAUUUCUACUCGGACGUAGUUUACAUGGAUGGGGCAAACAGGAAAGGCUAAGAGAGCACUCGAAAGAAUCUCGUCUCCCUGGUUCUCGGCCUGCUUCUUCGUCGAAUCGCGUUCGUCGAUCAGGGAUUGGAUUGAUUUCGCCGUGGCCAAGCCGAUCGUUGCCGGGAGCGAGGAUGGCAAGGAGCAGUGGCACUGCAAACGCAAACCGGCGAUGCACCGAUUGCACCGUCGUCGUUCAUCGCGAUGCCGCUGUCGCAGCUCGUAGUACGUUCGCUCUCGAGUCACGAUCGAUCGGAAUCGGGUACGGUAGGAACGACCACGGCACUGCUACCUCUGGCUACACCGGCUACGCUGCCAAUUUCGAUCAGGGAGAGGGCACGGCCGAUUAGAGUCGCCCCUUUCGAUACAACUGCCGAGCGGCACGUGAGUCACAAAUCAAGAGGACGAGCGCAACUCGCAGAAUGGACAAGUGCGGGGUCUACUUGUCU